rnacentral:rRNA from 1 species
GACGAACGCUGGCGGCGUGCUUAACACAUGCCAGUCGAACGGAAAGGCCCUGCUUGCAGGGUACUCGAGUGGCGAACGGGUGAGUAACACGUGGGUGAUCUGCCCUGCACUUCGGGAUAAGCCUGGGAAACCGGGUCUAAUACCGGAUAGGAGCCAUUUUUAGUGUGAUGGUUGGAAAGUUUUUUCGGUGUAGGAUGAGCUCGCGGCCUAUCAGCUUGUUGGUGGGGUAAUGGCCUACCAAGGCGGCGACGGGUAGCCGGCCUGAGAGGGUGGACGGCCACAUUGGGACUGAGAUACGGCCCAGACUCCUACGGGAGGCAGCAGUGGGGAAUAUUGCACAAUGGGCGCAAGCCUGAUGCAGCGACGCCGCGUGGGGGAUGACGGCCUUCGGGUUGUAAACUCCUUUCGCUAGGGACGAAGCUUUUUGUGACGGUACCUAGAUAAGAAGCACCGGCUAACUACGUG